UACGUAGGGGGCAAGCGUUGUCCGGAUUUAUUGGGCGUAAAGAGCGUGUAGGCGGUCAGGUAGGUCCGUUGUGAAACUCGAGGCUCAACCUCGAGACGCCGAUGGAAACCAUCUGACUAGAGUCCGGAAGAGGAGAGUGGAAUUCCUGGUGUAGCGGUGAAAUGCGCAGAGUAUCAGGAAGAACACCCGUGGCUAAGGCGGCUCUCUAGUACGGUACUGACGCUGAGACGCGAAAGCGUGGGGAGCGAACAGG
rnacentral:rRNA from 1 species